CCGCAAGACAUUCAGCCAUUCCCUGCCUCUUGGCACUUGCAUACUACGUUUCCAUUGUUGAAACAACAGUCUUCUGGUGAAUGUGGAACAGAACUGGUCCUGUAUUGUGGGGCCAAAAUAAACUCUGUGCUUACUGUGUUUUCCAACCCUCACAAGUGGGUUCCUGUGGGUUCCUGACUACUCACCCAGGCUGGGAAUUCAUGGAGAAGGUGCUGGCGUGGAAGCCAUUGGUAGAGAUGGACCUGAGAGCCCUGAGCAGCUCCAGGCUGGGAAGGAGGAUUGGCCAUGCUGUUGGAGAAGAAAAUAACCCUGCCUGAGUAAGCGGAAUCCCUUUGCUUUGUGAACUGGUCAGCAGCGGAGACAAAGAAAGGGAACCAGUAUUACAACAAUUUCACUCCAAAGCCAUGAGGUGUGGAGAAUUUUUGAAGAGAAGUGGUAUCUCUGUUUGGCUUGCC
ensembl:lncRNA